rnacentral:tRNA from 1 species
CUGUAGCUCAGUUUGGAUAGAGCGUUAGAUUGCGGUUCUAAAGGCCGGAGGUUCGAAUCCUCUCAG